AACUCAGCUAGGGAGAGUCUAACAUAAUCACUGAUGAGACCUAGACGAAACUACGGUAAACAUUUGCAUCAUACUGUAGUCUGAUA
rnacentral:ribozyme from 1 species